rnacentral:rRNA from 1 species
AUUGAACGCUGGCGGCAGGCCUAACACAUGCAAGUCGAGCGGAUGAAGGGAGCUUGCUCCUGGAUUCAGCGGCGGACGGGUGAGUAAUGCCUAGGAAUCUGCCUGGUAGUGGGGGAUAACGUCCGGAAACGGGCGCUAAUACCGCAUACGUCCUGAGGGAGAAAGUGGGGGAUCUUCGGACCUCACGCUAUCAGAUGAGCCUAGGUCGGAUUAGCUAGUUGGUGGGGUAAAGGCCUACCAAGGCGACGAUCCGUAACUGGUCUGAGAGGAUGAUCAGUCAAAAGGGGGAGGAGAAACGGUCAAGAAUCCCAAGGGAGGGAGGAGGGGGGAAUAUGGGAAAAAGGGGGAAAAGAUGAUCAAACCAAGCCGGGGGGGUGAAGAAGGUCUUAGGAUUGGAAAGGACUUUAAGGUGGGAGGAAGGGAAGGAAGUUAAAAACUUGGUUUUGUGACGGUACCAACAAAAAAAACAACGGGAAAAUUC